GGCAGCUGCACUGUUGCCUGCCAGCCUGUCCUCUUUGACUGCCGAAUGAACCAAAGGAUAACUCUCCAUUCGUGAGAGAGAGUGAGCUACAGAGGAAGAAAGACCACGCAAAAGGGAGGGGGAGAGAGGGGGGCGAAGAGGAUGUUCUCCGGCUCACUCCUACAUUAGGUCUCUGUGCAAAGGCAGAGGCUGUGGGAGCAGCAUCAAGCAAGACUUCGGGCAGUGAUUCUAACUAUUGCCUAUGAACACCGUGGCUGGGACGACUUUGACGAGGCAAUUUAUUACUUACGCAUAGAACACUGGCUGUGCUGAAACUGGGAGCGCAAACAGCCCCUUGUUUUCUAAUUUAGAGACUUGCAUCUUUUCGACACUCAACAGUAUCAAGACACUCUGCUACUACAGGUAAAUUGAUUUCCACCAUCAACACCUUUACCUCUUCCCGCCUGAAAAUAAAAUAUGAAAUAUAACAAGUAAAUCGCAAUCUACCUUGGUAAGUAAAAUGAAUUUAAUGAUAAAGAACAAAUU
rnacentral:lncRNA from 1 species